AGACGCCGUAGGUAGCACGCGAUGGAACGCGGCGGAGGGGAGCGUGGACACGGCUGCCGGGCGCUGCGGCCAUCGGCGCCCUGGACGCCCGCUCCGGCCUUCGGGGCCGGAUAUCCCCACUCUCGCGGGCUCUUUCGCGUGGACCCCUCCUCCGGCCGACACUCACACUGCGGUGAACGCCAGUCAGCUGGCGUGAAAUAAGGUCGCUGGGAAGGCACCAAGUCACCAAGGUGGGGGAUGGCCAGGUCGUGGUAGUUGCGACAAAGAAAAAUAUAAGUCACAUUGCAUUUGUUUCUCGCCCACCCACCGCUCCCGGCGUCUCUUCCCGGGCUCCUUGCCAGCGUGCCGAGGCGCAGGCAGGGUGAUGGAGGCUCCCCGGCCGGGAGGAUCUGCCGGGGAGAGCGGCUUCCCUCAUCGAUUCGGGAGCGCCAGGCCCGGCGCGCCCGGGCUCCUGUGACCUGCGAGCCCGCGAAUUCCAGCGGCAUAAGAUAAGGAGCGGCGAGGGCCCAACAGGACUGAGGUCAGCCAGCUAUAAAUACGCCUCCAGCUCCACCGCGGGCUCACGCUGGUGACCUCGUGUACCCUCCGGAGGCUCAUUCCGUCCAUUUGGAAAAUGCAAAUAAUUGUCACCACCUCUUUUCUUCCAUUUCCCCUCAUUCAUGGUGGAAAAUGCUUUUAAAAGUAUUCGAUGACCCGUAUGUGAGGAAAGAGGAGAUAGGCCCCUUUUUCACCAAAUGUGACUUUAACCUCCUUAGUAAUCCAAGAAAUGUAUCAAGUUUAAGUCACUUAACAAAAGAUGUUCUUUUAAAGGUGCAUUUUAAAAAAUCACUUUUAAAACUGGGUAAACUGGGUAAAAAGAAAGGGGGAAGGAAAACAAUGUGCCAGGCAUUUGUAUUGACACACAUUCUUGCCUGAAGAGGUGUUUAGAUUCCAGGGUAUUCCCUUAUAUUCUGGUAUAAAUGUUUGAAUUCCCGUGUAUUUUGUUUCAAUUUUUUGGUUUAUCUUUUAUUCUGUCUCCCUUUUCUUCUUUUACCCGCCUUUGCCCUUAAUGCUGCAGAUAGCCUCUGUCAUUCUGAAUUAUUUUUCAAUUCUGUUUUCUUCCCUAAUCUUUUUUUCUGGGCUCUUCAGCUGUCUCAGGUUUGACAGUCAUGGGUUGUAGUAUCUUGCUAUGCAGGAAGAAGAGGAUACGUGAGAUUACUUGCAUCAACUAAAAUUGGUCACUUUUCUUUCUCAAGUUUCCUUCAUAAUACCCAGUUUUAGUUUUUUUGUUUUUUGGGGUUUUUUUGUUCUUUUUUUUUUGAGACGGAGUCUCGCUCUGUCGCCCAGGCUGAAGUGCAGUGGCGCCAUCUCGGCUCACUGCAAGCUCCGCCUCCUGGGUUCACGCCAUUCUCCUGCCUCAGCCUCCUGAGCAGCUGGGACUACAGGCGCCCGCCACCACGCCCGGCUAACUUUUUGUAUUUUUAGUACAGACGGGGUGUCACCGUGUUAAUAGGUGUUCUCGAUCUCCUGACCUCGUGAUCCUCCCGCCUCGGCCUCCCAAAGUGCUGGGAUUACAAGCGUGAGCCACUGCGCCCAGCCCCAGCUUUAGUUCUAAAGGAAAAGAUGGGCCUUUUGCUUAAGGAGAUUCACAUUGAUUGGUCAAAGCUCUCAUUGACGUAUGCUGAGCAAUGUGUCGGCAGAGAAAACCAUGGCAAGCGUGUUAUUAUGCUCUUUAUAGUCUAGUUGGAUUUUUAGACAUAUGAAUUGGUCUAUAAAAUAGACAACAAUCUCAGGUGGGAACCUUAGUACAUCAAGUUUCUGAAAUGUACAAAUGAGUAUUCCCUGGCUUGUGUUAUCUGCCACUGUAGAAAUGAGAGCAAAAUUGAAGCAUCAAAUUUUAAGUCGUGAUAUGUUUGCUUCUCUGCAAAAGACUCUCCUUUUCAAAUCUUCAGGAAUUUUUCGCUCUCCUUUGAUAAGGCCCAGCUAGUACCCAGGCUUCAAUCCUCAGCGCCCUGGCUACCAGCAGCUAGUGGGGCAUGCUGUUCUCCCUGGCUACUGGCAUGUUUAUGCAUGCCAGCCCGUUUCUCCGGUCUGUCUGCCCAGGGAGACAUCUGGACACGUGUGUUCUGGCCCCCAAACUCAAAAGCAACAUCUCGGGAUCCACAGUUAACAUUCCGUAAUGUGUUGGUAUUCCUUUAAGUGGGUUACUAGAAUAGGCUGGAAAUGGUCUUUUCUUCUGUCCAGGUAGGUCACAAGAGAGGUAGUUGUUACAUGCCCAAAGCAGCAUUCAUUAAUUACAUCGUGCAUUUAGUUAUUUGUUUGUGGUCUGAGCCCCUCUGCUCCACUAGAAUAUAAACUCCAUGAGCAAAAGACUUUGUCAGUCUCUCUUUUUUUAGAGACAGGUUCUCACUUUGUCACCCAGGCUGGAGUGCAGCGGCAUAGUCAUAGUUCACUGUAACCUGGAACUCCUGGGCUCACGUGAUCCUCCCCCCUCAGCCGCCCAAGUAGCUGGGACUACAGGCCAGCUUGACUUUGUCAAUCUAUUCUCAACUCUCUCCUCAGAGCCUAGUGCCUGGCAAGUGAAUAUUUGUUAAAUGAGAGAAGAGAAAUAAGCAUACAUAUCCUCUAGGCAUUUCUAAACCUUGUCACCAAGACCCUUUUAGUGUUAGAGGGUGGCAUGGCUAUCUUGGAAAGAGUGAAGGUUGGCUGGGAAAGCUGUGGAUCACAUCCUCUUCAGUGAAAUGGGACUUCUGCCUUCAGGGAUCCAAGGUGAAUAGAUUAAUCCAAGCUAAUCCAUUCAAAGUCAUUUUCAUGUUGUAAAGAUCUUAUAAGGCAAAAGGCAGCACGAAGUCUCUGGGUCUGAUGAUAAGUUAGAGGCCAGUAAGGAGGCACGAGUGAAGGAAUGCCAUUGGUAGGGUGACCCUUUAGGUUGGCUUCAAACCCAAUAUUAAAUGGGUAGGUGUUAGGGAGAAUAAACAGCUUCAUUUUUCAGCAUGGACACUACUACAUCUUUUUUUUUUUUUUUUUUUUUUUUGGUUAGUAGUACCCCAUCAUGGCUUAGAAGGACUAAACUGAAACAGAAACUGUGGUUAAGAAUAAGAUGGAUGUAUAUAAUUCAGUGCACAAAAUAGAGGAAGUUUAAAAACCUGAAUUCAUUUUCAUUGUGGUGGUACAGUGUUUUACUUCUUUUGUUUACUUCUAAACAACUUGCUCCUUCUCCCUUAGCUCCAUUUUAAUUUAUCUUUGCCUCAAAGCACUGGCUACUAUGAUUGAAAGAUAGAUGAUGGAGGAUAUUGCUGCUCUCACUUGGUCCUACCUAGUCCGUGGCCUCUGUAUUCCUCCUUUCCCUACUAUCCGUACACCCUUUACCAUAGAACCUGAUCUUUCCUAGGCCUUGAGGCAGGAAGAAUUAUCAGAGCUUUGGUCCCAAGCUCAAGACUCAGCCUCCCACUGCCUCGCCCCUUUCUAAGAACUGACAGCCCUUCUCUUGUGUCUGAAACCCUGACCUGUUAGCUUGCCAGGACCUGGAAUUUCUCUGCUUGUUGUUUGGACUUAGCUGCAUCCCUGCACCCAGACUGCUGGGCAGUUGUAGGUAUUGUUGGUGGCAUCACUUAAUUGCCUCCAGCUCUUUGUUUCUAGGCUCCCUGUAUCUGUAUUCUAUCUAUCUGUUGGGCCUCCCUUCCCCCAUUACCUCAGGCUGGAUGUCCCCA
rnacentral:lncRNA from 1 species